rnacentral:rRNA from 1 species
UACAGAGGCCUCGAGCGUUAGGCGGAAUCACUGGGCUUAAAGCGUGUGUAGGUGGAUGCCUAAGUACCUUGUGAAAUCCCACGGCUUAACCGUGGAACUGCUUGGUAUACUGGGUGUCUUGAGUCACUCAGGGGCUACCGGAACAAAUGGUGGAGCGGUGAAAUGCGUAGAUAUCAUUUGGAACGCCAAUGGUGAAAACAGGUAGCUGGGGGUGUGCUGACACUGAGACACGAAAGCCAGGGGAGCAAACGGG